rnacentral:rRNA from 1 species
GAGUUUGAUCUGGCUCAGGACGAACGCUGGCGGCGCGCCUAACACAUGCAAGUCGAACGAGCGAGAGAGAGCUUGCUUUCUCGAGCGAGUGGCGAACGGGUGAGUAACGCGUGAGGAACCUGCCUCAAAGAGGGGGACAACAGUUGGAAACGACUGCUAAUACCGCAUAAGCCCACGGGUCGGCAUCGACCAGAGGGAAAAGGAGCAAUCCGCUUUGAGAUGGCCUCGCGUCCGAUUAGCUAGUUGGUGAGGUAACGGCCCACCAAGGCAACGAUCAGUAGCCGGUCUGAGAGGAUGAACGGCCACAUUGGAACUGAGACACGGUCCAAACUCCUACGGGAGGCAGCAGUGGGGAAUAUUGCACAAUGGGGGAAACCCUGAUGCAGCAACGCCGCGUGAGCGAAGAAGUAUUUCGGUAUGUAAAGCUCUAUCAGCAGGGAAGAAAAUGACGGUACCUGACUAAGAAGCCCCGGCUAACUACGUGCCAGCAGCCGCGGUAAUAC